rnacentral:misc_RNA from 1 species
GUGCCGGAGUAUCCUCGAACCUGGCAAAUGUUUUUAUUGGGAUUGCAAACUUGACAGGGUCAAUUGUGGCCUUGGUUCUGAUGGACAAAUUAGGAAGGAAAGUCCUCCUUCAUUGGAGCUUCUUUGGAAUGGCUUUGGCCAUGGCCCUUCAAGUGUUUGCUUCAAGUGGGAUUGCAUCAAAUUAUGGAGCUUUUUACUUCUCUGUUGGUGGCAUGCUGCUGUUUGUCUUGACAUUUGCUGUUGGAGCUGGUCCAGUUCCUGGUCUCCUCCUCCCAGAAAUAUUUCCCAGUCGAAUUAGGGCUAAGGCUAUGGCAUUUUGUAUGUCAGUUCACUGGGUGGUUAACUUUUUUGUUGGACUGAUGUUCUUGCGCUUGCUCGACCAACUUGGGCCACACUUACUAUACUCCAUAUUUGGCACCUUCUGCCUGAUGGCCGUGGUAUUUGUAAAGAGGAGUGUGAUGGAGACAAAGGGAAAGUCACUUCAAGAAAUUGAGAUUGCCCUUCUUCCACAAGAAUAUAGAGAAUUCUUGUGAGAAGAAAUCAACACCCAAGUGUUUUCCAGGUUUGCAAGUAAAUGGAAGGUGACCAGCAAAUAUUUCUACUUAGUCUUGCCACUCAUCCUGAUCGUUGCAAGUCUUUAUACAACUGUUUCUGGCAGUAGUAGCUUUUUUCAAGCAGCCUGCAGGAUGCUCUGCAAAUAGAGUUAAAUAGAAUAACUAUUGGGUUGUGGUCUCUUAGCAGCUCCUAGUAUAUGGCGGCAGAAUUGUUGCUCCACGUCCCUACCCCUAUAAGAUAACAAUAAUGUUGUUACAGUGAGGACUUGGUGUAUGUACCAGAAAUGAGAGGUUACUUUUGUCCAAGUGUGUAUUCAGUUGCUUAAUGUUGUUAAACUAAGGAGGUUUAAGGUUGUAUAUAAUAGGCAAAAUUGUUUGG